rnacentral:rRNA from 1 species
UACGAAGGGGGCUAGCGUUGUUCGGAAUUACUGGGCGUAAAGCGAGUGUAGGCGGUUGCCCAAGUCAGGUGUGAAAGCCUUGAGCUCAACUCAAGAAAUGCACUUGGUACUGGGUGGCUAGAGGACCGGAGAGGAUAGUGGAAUUCCCAGUGUAGUGGUGAAAUACGUAGAGAUUGGGAAGAACACCAGUGGCGAAGGCGGCUAUCUGGACGGUUACUGACGCUAAGACUCGAAAGCGUGGGGAGCAAACAGG